rnacentral:rRNA from 1 species
AUGCUGCUCCACCUUCCGGUCAUUGACGAGCCCCUGGGCAGGCGCUUCCUCCUCCUCUCAGGACCCGACCCAACCACUGCCGCCAUGGCAUGGCGCCUCCACCUCCCGGCGAAGGACUACCACCUCCCCGACGACGUGCCCAACCCCGACGAGGCCCGCCGGCCCUGGAGUUCCUGCCGCGACGCCUCGACCUCCUGUUCAGCCAUGGAUUCUUGCCAUCCACAACGACAUCAGGAACACGAUUGGGCCGGGGGAGAAGGCAGAACCUCUAGGUGCAUGAUGGAAAAAAUUGCAAGUUCUUGUUUAGAUGUUCAGGAUACCCUUCUCUCAUUUCAUAUAUGUUCAGGAUAG